AUUGGUCGUUGUCUAAUGCCACCCCAUUGUUCCAGCUGUCUCAAGACACAGAUACUUGCGGUCCUCUUGCGGUCACAAACCGAGCUUGUGGUGACAUGACAUGCAACCAUCCAAACCAAAUGUGCCUGCUGGACCAUAACUCCAAAAUCUGCAAAUGUGAAUGCCCAAUUUUCSAUUGUUUCUACGAGAGCAUAUCAAAGAUUUGUGGAUCAGACGGGAACACAUACGACAAUGAAUGUACAAUGCUCCUGAUUGGCUGCACAAACAAUGUGAACAUUACCAAAGUUCACGAUGGAGAAUGCUGUACGUAAGGUUUGGUAUGCCUAAGAGGUUCAAACGUCAAAAGAAAAGAUGACGAAUUUAAAGCAAUGAUAAAAAGAAGAUAUAAAAAUAAAAACGGUUACUGACUUUAAAAGUAUGAUGCUGUUUUCACUGCU